rfam:Rhodosporidium toruloides NP11 unplaced genomic scaffold Scaffold2, whole genome shotgun sequence.
CCCUCGAUAGCUCAGUUGGAAGAGCGUGGGACUGUAAUUGGUUCUCUAUUCGGUUGUGUAUCCCAAGGUCACCGGUUCGAUCCCGGUUCGAGGGA